rnacentral:rRNA from 1 species
AGAGUUUGAUCAUGGCUCAGAAUCAACGCUGGCGGCGUGCCUCAGACAUGCAAGUCGAACGAUUAAAGCUCUCUUCGGAGAGUGUAUAGAGUGGCGCACGGGUGAGUAACACGUAAGUAAUCUACCCUCGAGUGGGGAAUAACGUCCGGAAACGGACGCUAAUACCGCAUAAUGCAGCGGCACCGCAAGGUGACAGUUGUUAAAGAUUUAUCGCUUGAGGAGGAGCUUGCGGCAGAUUAGCUAGUUGGUAAGGUAAUGGCUUACCAAGGCUACGAUCUGUAACCGGUCUAAGAGGACGGUCGGUCACACUGACACUGAAUAACGGGUCAGACUCCUACGGGAGGCAGCAGUCGGGAAUUUUGGGCAAUGGGCGAAAGCCUGACCCAGCAACGCCGCGUGAAGGAUGAAGUAUUUCGGUAUGUAAACUUCGAAAGAAUGGGAAGAAUCAAUGACGGUACCAU